rnacentral:rRNA from 1 species
AUUGAACGCUGGCGGCAGGCUUAACACAUGCAAGUCGAGCGGGGGAAGGUAGCUUGCUACUGGACCUAGCGGCGGACGGGUGAGUAAUGCUUAGGAAUCUGCCUAUUAGUGGGGGACAACAUCGCGAAAGGGAUGCUAAUACCGCAUACGUCCUACGGGAGAAAGCAGGGGAUCUUCGGACCUUGCGCUAAUAGAUGAGCCUAAGUCGGAUUAGCUAGUUGGUGGGGUAAAGGCCUACCAAGGCGACGAUCUGUAGCGGGUCUGAGAGGAUGAUCCGCCACACUGGGACUGAGACACGGCCCAGACUCCUACGGGAGGCAGCAGUGGGGAAUAUUGGACAAUGGGGGGAACCCUGAUCCAGCCAUGCCGCGUGUGUGAAGAAGGCCUUAUGGUUGUAAAGCACUCUAAGCGAGGAGGAGGCUAAUCUAGUUAAUACCUAGGGAUAGUGGACGUUACUCGCAGAAUAAGCACCGGCUAACUCUGUGCCAGCCGCCGCAGUAA